rnacentral:misc_RNA from 1 species
AACUAAUUUAAGGAUAGAUUAGUAAACGAUUUUUCAAAGUAAUAUUCUUAAUAUAAGAUUACAUUCAUUAUUCAAAUUAAUAAGCACUUAACAUACAUAAACAAGAUAAUAAAACAUUCAUAUUUCAGCAUUAUUAAACUAAUUAAUAGAGAGUAUUCUUGACAAUCGGGCGAGCUUUGCACAUGGCUUGUAGUGGCUCAAGCUUCGGCAUGGUGAGACCUCUGCCUUCCAUCAUAUCAAUUUCCUCAUGAGUGACCCUGUUCCAUUCAAAGCAUUGAAUCAACGUUCCCAAAGCCAAAAUCACAACACGUUGGGCUAGGCCUGCUCCUGGACAAGCCCUUCUCCCCAAUCCAAAUGGUGUAAACUUGGAGCCCUCCCCUCCUCCGUUAUCAAAUCUCUCAGGCUUAAAACUCAUUGGAUCAUCCCAAAGAGCAGGAUCUCUGUGCAAAGCCCAUGCAUUUACUAAUACGAUUGUGCCACGUGGCACAUUGUAUCCUCCAAUAGUGCAAUCAUCAGAUGCUUCAUGAGGGACAAGGAGUGGGGUGGCCGGGUAUAAUCGGAGGGUUUCGUGGAAGAUGUUUUGAAGGUAUGGUAGUUUGGAGAGAUGAGGUUCAUCUAGUAAGCAUUGUGGGCCAACUUGAGUGUCUAUUUCAUAUAUAGCUUUCUUCAAUACGUGUGGAUUAUUGAGUAGAUUGGACAUUGCCCAUUCUAACGUCACCGCUGAUGUAUCGGUCCCCGCAAAUAUCAAGCCCAACACAAGCCCUUUGAUAGUCUCGUCAGUGUGAUAAUCAGGUUCUGAUUCUUGCGAAGAAAGAAGAUGAUCAAUCAUGGUGUUCAUGCUCUCUAAAUUAUUCUUCUUACUUCUGUGUUCAUCAAUCAACCGUUGUGCAAAUUCAUCAGUUCUUUUCCCAAAGCUUUUCAAUUUCUUCUCAAACCUACCACCAUCAAUCCAAUUCAAAAUCGGCAAGAAAUCUCCUGGAUUCGACGCCCCUAUAUACGAAACUACCUCAACCAUUAACUCCCUAAACCGUCUCGCCUCUUCCUCGUCACUCACAUCUUCUCCGUAAUACCUCUUCCCUGCGAUCAUUCUCACUGUUAUGUUAAACGUUAGCUCUUUGAACAAUGAUUUCAACUCUACCUUGGCAAAAUCUUGAAGCGACCUUUGUGAUAACUUUGUGAUUAAUCGCUUGAUUUCGUCUUUUCGGAUGGUUAGAGACUUGUUUAGGCGAGCAGUAGAGAAGAUCUCAAUGGCCACAAUGCGGCGGAGGUUGCGCCAGUGAUCGCCGUAGGAGGAUUGAGCGAUGGUGGUGUUGUUAUAAGCUAUGUGCUUGCCUGCUAGAAAUUUUGGACGGUUGGCUAAGAUGACGUCGUUCUUGGUGAAGCAUUCUUCCACUGCAGAUGAUGAUGAGACUACAACAACAAGGCGGCAUCCGAAGCGGAGGGAGAAGAUGGGGCCGUAUUUUUUAGCGAGAGUUUGGAGAGUGCGGUGCAUAGGUGGCUUUAGGAGAUGGAGAUGGCCGAUAACUGGAAGUGCAGGUGGGCUUGGAGGGAGGUUUCUGUGGCAUAUUCUUGAUCGGAAAAUUUUAAAAACAAGGAA